CCUAAGAGAGAGGGAGAGGAAGGGGAUGCAGGACGCCUGAGUGGGAGAGGUCCAGGGAUGCACGGGAAGGUGGGAAGCAGCACUCCUCCCGAACUCCUCCUCCUUGUCAAGAUUCUCUACAGGCCCACCUGUCCACUCAUGUAGUUACAGCACUGUGUCAAGUACUAGGAAUAGACUUGGCCCACAGCAAAAGUACAUGCCCUUGAAAAUUUUCGUGCUCAACUAACUGCCUGGGCCACCACUGGCCCAGAUCCAACAACUGUUGGGGUUCCAGCAAAGCCCCGACCUAUGAUCAGCGGAGAUUUACCGGGCAGUAAGGGGAAAUGUGGGGUGAUCAAAACAGUCGAUCAGGGUUCAGGACGCGAAUGCCGUGGAAUCCAGGGUCGGGUGCCAGCUGGUCCCUUCCUACUGGGGCCUGGAGUUCAGCGUUGACCUCUGUCCCAGUGCCCAGAUUAGGGAGAGGCAAGUGGGAGGAGCCAGAGGUCGCCCCACAGGGCUCAGUCCUAGGCAGUGGUCUCCACUGGAGGGAAGGAACAGGUUUCUGGGCCACUUCACCUACUCGCAUCUCUUCUGUACAGGGGCAUGCCAGGCACAAGACUAAAUACCUUCCCCGACCUCCAGGCUCUUCAACCAGGGCCUCCAUUGAGUGGCCCUCUAUUCCUUUCGGUUCUUCUCAAUAUGAGAUUCAAUCUUCCCUGUCCUUCAUCCCCCUUUCGCCCCAUCUUUCUUUCGAGGACCUGUGCCCGCUUCACCCAGGAGUCCAGCCCACCCGUAACUCUCUAGCAGUUCCGGCGUGGGUGGCAGUUUCAGAAAUCUGCAAGGGAAAAAGUUCCGCUCCCCAGGCUAUGAGCUGGGCUCGGAUCCCAGAACAGCUGCGGGAUAUCCCAGGAAAGAGACUCCACGGGAUUCCUGCGGGCUGAUGCCCCCAAACCCACUGCAUCUUCGCGGCCCGGCAGGGCACGCACAGUACCUGAGACAUACUGGCGAGGUGACCUGGAUGCUGAAAGCGCGGGAGCAAGCUCAGAAGAGGGAAGCAAUCAAGUUCCAGAGCGUACCGGCUAGCGCCUUUAAAAGCACAACCCCCGCGUUCCUACUGAGCUCGGGCGAGCGGCGGCAGCCAAUCAGAAGUCGGAUCUGCUUUCGGGGGCGUGUCCAUCCUAGGCAGAGAGCUCCGGCCCUUCCCCGACACAAGAGGGAGUUUAUUGCGCAUGCACAGGGAGGAGCCGCGGAGCACGUUGGGAGCAGGUUAUCUCUCCACAUGGCUGUGGAGGAAGCCACCAUCACUGUUCGCCUCAUCCGUUCAUUUGAGCAUCGAAAUUUCAAGCCUGUGGUAUAUCAUCGAGUUAACUUACAUCAAACUGUAAAGGAAUUUAUAAUAUUUCUAAAGCAAGAUGUCCCUUCGAGGACCAGCCUGCCACCGCCACUCAGAAAUUACAAAUAUGACACACUGAAGAUUCUACAUCAAGCCCACAAAGCAAAGACAAAUGAGCUUGUGCUGGGCUUGGAGGACGACGACACACUCCUGCUAAAGGAAGACAGAACGCUGAAGGACUCAGGAGUAGCCAGUGAAACUGAGAUUGCAUUCUUCUGUGGAGAAGAUUAUAGGAGAUACAAAGCUAAUCCCACCGCAUCCUGGUGAAAGUCUCUAGAUUCCUAGUUAAGCAGCAAUGGGGACAUUGUGUCAUUCAGCAACAUGGAGUCUGAGACAUAUGACGAAUACAAUUGCAGAGGUCUCAAACAGAUGGGAUACAAGCUUUGAAAAGCACAUCAGGUCGGUGAGAUGAGGCUGGGUGGGUAAAGGAGCUUGCCGCCAAGCCGGAAGACCUGAGUUCAAUCCCAGGGACUGCAUGGCAGUGGGUGAGAACUCGUUCCCACAAGCUGUAUACAAGUACUGUGGGUGAUACGAUGGCCAGUAUCGAUUUUCACUCUGACUGGGUCUAGAAUUACCUAGGAGACAAAUCUCUGGGCAUGUCUGAGCUUCUAGAUUUGGUUAAUUAUGAUGGGAAUGCCCACACUAGCUGUAGGCAGCAACAUCCCAUGGACUGGGCAUCCGUCCCUCUGCUUCUUGACUGUGGAUGCUGUGUGAGCAGUGCGUCACGCUCCUGCUGCUGUGCCUUCCCCACCAGGAUGGACUGUGCCCUUGAAACUUUUGUCACAGCAACAAGACACACACACACACACACACACAUAUAUCUUAUGCAACAUAUAUGUGCACAAAAGGACAUGCAGGCAGAAGCUAGGGGCAGGAAACAAAGGCAGAAAGAGUCCAGUUGAUAAGGCUUAAUUUUACCAGACUAUAUCUGCAUUCAAAAUCAUUAAAGCACAUCUGCUAUAUAUACAGUAAAUUUUAUUUUUUUAAGAUUUAUUUAUUUUUUUUAUAUGAGUACACUGUACCUGUUUUCAGACACAACAGAAGAGGGCAUCGGAUCCCAGAUGGUUGUAGGCCACCAUGUGGUUGCUGGGAAUUGGACUCAGGUCCUCUAGAAGAGCAGUCAGUGCUCUUAACCACUGAGCCAUCUCACAAUUUUACAAUAAAUUUUAAAAACAGCAAUAACAACAACAACAACCCCCUGAGGUGAAUGUCGUGAACAUGUGAUCAUUUUGGUAUAUUAUUUCCCUCUGAAUUGUUUUUCCCACAUUUAUAUCUUAGCACUUAUGCAUUUUAACUUUUACAAGUAAUAUUUACUUUUUAGAAACCAUCUUGGAGGUGAAAUAUAUAUAAUUUUAUAGAUGAUUACAUUUAUAAUAUUAUACAUAUAUAAUAUAUACUAUAGCUUAGGCUAGCCUUAGACUUGUUUUGUAACCAAGGAUAAACUUGAACUCCUUAUCUUUCUGCCCUUCCCUCCCACACGCCGAGAUUCCAGAAAUGCUGUUUAAUACUGGUGCAGGGAGACUGAAGGCAAGUCCUCAGGAGGGCCAGGCUCCAGUGGAACCCUGCCUCCUAAAUUCCCAUAUCCUCAGGGUCUCUGUCGUUUGCUGCUUCUGAUGCCUAAGCUGGCUGGCCUUGAUUUGAUCUCGGCCCUCGGGACAAGCGGCUUAGGGCACUGUGGACUCAGCAUCCCAGGAUCUCACGGUGACCCCACAGUGUGACACCUGUGUCCCUUCCCUUCACUCUGCCUCCGGCAUCUCUGGGAAGUGCAGGUACAGAGGAGAAGCUAUGCCCGUCAAAUCUUUCCAUCUGAAACAUUUAUUAUCCAGUGAUUCAGACCUGAGAUCAGCCUCCUGUGCCCAAUUAUGCAUUUUGGGUGAGAACAUGAACUUAAGAAUUUAGGUAAUGGCCUUUCUUCGAGAGCUCAUACAAUGUACAAUGGCCCAGGAGAAGCAUCCGGAUGCGAGUCAUCCUGCUCACAUGGUGUUUUAUAGGGUGUGGCCUGCCCUGUCCUGUGCUGCUCUGAGUGAGCACCCGGACAAUAACGACUUUUGUAGGCAGCCAGGCUGAAGAUGGAGAACAUCCACUUUGGGCCCCAGACGAUGCAAAGGCGGAGUGUGAUUCAGUGGGUGACGUUCCUGUUACACAAGCCUGAGGAUUCCCAGGACUCACUCAAGAAGACCAGAUGGCGGGCUGGAGAGGUGGCUCAGCGGUUAAGAGCACCGGCUGCUCUUCCAGAGGUCCUGGGUUCAGUUCCCAGCACCCACAUGGUGGCCCACAACUCUCCAUAACUCCAGUUUCCGGGGCUGUAUCUGCAUCUCUGGAUAUUUCUGCCCAAAAGUUCCCUAUAUGCCAGAGGCAGUUCUGUGCCUUGUGAGGAUCUCACCCCCCCACCCCCCGUAAGCCAGAAGACAAAACAUUCUGAUUACCCACCAUAGGGAAGGUAAGUGUCCUAGACUGUCAUCUGCUUCCUUUUGAAUGGUCCCUGGAAUGCGGAGCAGAGAGCCCAACAGUGGCUUCUAGGACUGUCACCGUGCAGUCUCCCUCACUUGCCCUGAAGCAAAGUUGCUUGCUUAGAAGUGACCUAGAAGUGAGCUUGUGGUGACAUUAAAAAUUAUACGGAUUACAGAAGGCGAAUGGUGCACGUCUGCAUGGGCAGAGUUAUUUGUCUUGCUGUGUUUGCUUUGGGCAAGCGUGAGGAGAAGGAAGGAGCAUCCACUUUGCAGUCAGGCGGCGGCAGCACGAAAAGCCAGAACCCACCAGCACUGACCUAGACUCUGACCUUGGUGGGGCAGAAGCCUCAGUCUUUCACUCCAUUAAGUGGGAUGUCCAUGCUGACCUCAGGAUUGCCCUUGGGCUCAGGGGAAAUGACCUAACAAAGUGUGUAGCACACGUAUGUGAUUCCCGCACACCCAUGCUUUGUUAGCAACAUUAAUCUCAACUGGCCCCAAGCACACUAGGGCUGGGGAGAUGAUUGUUCAUUUGGUAGGGGACUUGUCACACAUGCAUGAAGCCAGGCAUGGCGGUGUGUGUCUAUAAUCCCACUGCUGGGGAGGCAGACACACACAUUCCUACAGCCCACUUGCCAGCCAGUCUGGCAAACCGGGGAAUGCUGGGUGAAAGAAAGACACAGUUUCAGAGAACACGGCUCUGUGGUUAAGAGUGUACUCUUCCAGAGGACCUGAGCCUGGCUUCCAUUCCCUGUGGUAGAUGGCUCACAAAUGCCUCCCUUCUGACCUCCAAGGGCACCUACAUUCACAGGCACACAUCUAAACAAUUACAGAAAGUAAGGCUUUCCAAAAGAAAGAUCAGGUAGAGUGAGCGAGAAAGACACCUGCGACCUUUGCCCUCCCCACGGGCAUGGACGGGCACACACACACACACACACACACACACACACACACACACACACACACGAACACUACACACACCACACCAUAGACACACACACACACACAUGAACACUACACACACCACACCAUACACACACACACACACACACACACACACACACACACACACACACACAAGAGCCUAUAGGUGCUGAACAAAAUGUUAUAUCCCACACAAGUAGGACUCAUGGUGCCAGGACUUCCAGAGAGGUAGGCACAUCCACCAUCCUGCUCGCCAGUGUCUGCCAGUCAAACUCUCAGCUCCUCAGGGGCCCAGAUGUUCUCAGUGCCCAGGAAGGACCCUGGUUUUCCAAGAACCUCUAGUCUUUCUAGCUCCUUUUCUGGGUGAGUUAUACCUGGCUGCAGGGGACCCAGAGCACGUAACCUGAUAUCUGCCUUUUCUGACUGGUUUGUUUUCCAGUUAGGAACAGUAGGCUCCUUCAAACAACAGAACAGCCACACUUCCUCUGUUCUCUGGGCAUACCUUGCCUCAAGUUUGGGUAUAGAGCAAAGGGUUACAGAGAGAGGCCAGGAGUGGUUUCUGGGUAGAAUAGUCUUGCAAGGUCAGUUUUUGCAGUUUGACUUUUCUGGAUCCGCCACAGCUCAGGACCAGCUGUUGGCUGCCUCACCACUGAUGCAUGGAGCUUGUGUCCUCCCUGCCCUUUCAGCCCACAUUCCUUACAGUCCAGGCAGUAGUUAGUGCCUGUCUGCCCUUUGUUGGCCACCAGGUGGCAGCAGAGUCUGCCAAGGACCGGAAGCUGUGGGCAGAGCCCGUGAGUCACCAAUUCAUCACCUAGAGUGGGUGGUUGGCCCACCUGCGGGUGUCUGGCCUUGGAGUUAAGUCAAAUCCUUUGGCUUGUGACUGUGAUGGCACUUGCCAGUGCUCAGAAGGGGUGACAGGAUGGCUAGUGUCUAACGUUUGAUUUAAUUUAAAAGCCAGGACCUAAUUAUUCUAAAGCCACAGCACGACUUCUAUAUUGUGUCUCUGUUGGUGUGUGUGUGUGUGUGUGUGUGUGUGUGUGUGUGUGUGGAGGGGACAGAAGUUGACAUGAGGUGCCUUCCUCUAUUUUGGGGACAGCGUUGCUCCCUGAAUCUCUGUUCACUGAUUGGCUAGACUCACUGACCAGGGAGCGCAUUAUCUGCCUACCUCCACCUCACUUCCUGUACUGGGGUUGCAGGUGCACACCACUAUUCCUGACUUCACAUAGGUGCUGGGGAUCCCGCCUGGUCCCUCACAGGAGUACAGCAAGCACCUGCCCACUGAGCCAUCCUCCCCAGCCCCCAUCCUGCUGACUUCCAGAGUGUGAAGGAUGAGCUAACAUCUUACAGAAUGCUCUGCUUAUACGCUGAGGAUCGUUUUUUUUUUUCAAGGCUGAAGACGGAAGGUCAUAAACAAGUUCUAAAAGCUCCCCAGCCUGAUACACUGCAACCAGCAAUGCACCUUCAUUGCUUGGGCCUGUGAGGUUCUAGGGUAAACUCCCCUCACCAAUGGCAGGAUAAUCCCUGCCCAGCAGGGCAUCUGCGAGCUGCCCUCUGGGACCCAGGUAUCAGAGCUUUGGAGGCACGGGGGCACCUGUGGCAUGAAUAUGAGAACUAGUCAGAAGAAGGAGACAUCCCCUCUUUCCUUCCUGAGGCCCGGAUGUUCUCUAAUAAGAUGGGGCCGUGCAGCUGACUCAUGUCUUGUAUAAAACCCCAUGCUUGUCUCUCACUUACCUUGACAGUUAAGAAACUUCACACUUAGGCAGCGUAUCAGAACCGAGGACAAAAGAUGAAUAUGCAUUAUUAAAGGGAUUCACUAAGUUGGUUUACAUGACAGGCUGGGCCAGGCAGUCAUGGCCGUCCACACUCUGGUAAAGCUGAGAAGCCAGCAGACACCCACUCCAGGAAGCUGCAGGCCUCAUCUGGAGCUGAGGGCCUGGAGGGUCUCCCAUCCACAGUGGAGAGCUGAAGAGGCUGGGCUCUGUAGGUUGGAGUGGCAGCAGCAGCAGGAUAGACGCAUUUGCCAGCAAGUAGCAGCGGCAGGCAAGCAGCACUGCUUCUUCUUGGAUCCCUUUUUUAUUUAUUUAGUAAUAGAGCAUUCUGUGUUCUUUGACAAUUUUAUGCAAGUAAGUAAUGUAUUUGGAUUAUCUGAACCCCAACUUUCCCCUUCUGCUUCCUGUAGACACCCCCAAACAACUUUCCUUUUAAUCUCUUCCUCCCCUUUUUUUUUUUUUUGUAACCCAUUCUGUGCAGCCAGCGGUGCCUGCUGGGAUGCUGACCGGGCUUGUGCAGGUUACCACAGCUGUGGUGAGUUCACGAGUGCACUGAGUGUGUCAUGUCCUGAAGACGGCAUUUCACAGCUCUUCACCACCACAUCCCCCUCCUCCCCCUCCUCCUCCCCCUCCUCCUCCCCCUCCUCCUCUCCCUC